rnacentral:lncRNA from 1 species
UGGUUCCCUCAGCUGCUCCCAGCCCUUUAUCAGCAAAAUCAAAACGAUGCUGUAUAGCCCAUGGGCCAGCAGGGGGCCAUACAUAGUGAUUUAACCCAUAUGGUGGAUUCCAGAGCUUUCUAUCUCAGGCAGCAUGGAUCCUGAAGCAUGGGCCACAGGUGUAUGACCAAACAAAAGGCUGCACAAAACACUCGAUAAAUAAAACCUUUACACCAUAUUCAGGAGAAGCGAACUGAACAGAGAUUAUUUUGGAAAUAAGAUCCCAACGCAGGCAUUCACACAGCCCUUUAUCUUAGGGGAGUAUAACAUUACAAAACAGAAACAUUUCUUAGAGAGCAUGUAUUCUCUUUGCAAACUGGCCUUCGAACUGGUUUAUUUUUCUACAUGCCCCAUGUCCAAAAUCUCUCUCUACCUUUUUUCUUAUUCCAGCUUUUUGCAUAAUAAGUGCAUCCACAAUGCGAAGCCACAGCCAACCUUCCGUGGGUGACAAGGUGGCCCCAGAUAUCGGAAGAGUUAUAGAUAGCGGGAAGAGUUAUAGAGCUCCUUCUGGGAUCUGUAAGUCCCCAGAUAUCGGAAGGGACACCAGCCUUUACAGUAAAGACAGCCAGAUUCCAGCUUUCGUAUGAAGCUACCAGCUGCCUUGGAAAGGACCCACAGAUAAGAGUUGACAUUGGAGUUACCAUGAGGAAAGAAAAUGUUUUAUUUAGAAAAAUAUCUUGCUUGGUUUAGAAGAGGAGAUGUUGCAGGCAGACAUUAGUGAGAGUCAAGAAACAAGCUCUGUGCAUUAUAAAUAAGCAGCAGGUGGGUGAUGAAGGGGCGGCAGAAAAAAGGGAGGGAGGUGAGAAGGGGAGGAGA